rnacentral:rRNA from 1 species
GACGAACCGUGCGAACGUUGUUCGGAAUCACUGGGCUUAAAGGGUGCGUAGGCGGGCGAUCAAGUCAGGGGUGAAAUCCUCCAGCUUAACUGGAGAACUGCCUUUGAUACUGGUCAUCUUGAGUAAGGUAGGGGCGUGCGGAACUGAUGGUGGAGCGGUGAAAUGUGUUGAUAUCAUCAGGAACUCCGGUGGCGAAAAGCGGCGCGCUGGACCUUAACUGACGCUGAGGCACGAAAGCUAGGGGGAGCGAACGGG